CGAGGGGCGGGGCAAACUGUGGGGAGUGCGGUGAUUGGUGGAACGUUGAGCGAUUUGUGAACUCGCGCCCACAGAGCCCUUAAAAGGCGCGAGGCACGUAGCUCUUGCAGGCUGGGUUGUGGAUUGGCUGCUUCCUUCUUGGUGUUUUUUUUAAUUUUUAAUUUUUUAACCCCUUCACUCUCUUAGAGUUAGUAAGACUAGGAUUGAGGUUGUAGGUGGUUACUAGGCGUCAGCCUUGGAUGAAAGAUCCUGGGAAGAAUGGAAUAUGCGUUAAUUCCAAAUCUUACACACUUCUCUACAAACGUGUGUGCCUCCCCAGUUCUGGUCUCGGCCUUGCCACGGGCGAACCCGGCACGCCUCACAGAAAAUACCCAGCGCGAUUCAACACCUCUUUACCUGUCAACACCUGAGUGGCUGAUUAAGUAGGCAAACUCCAACACCAGCCGUCGCUGGCUGAGAACGCUCCAGAACCAUCCUUGCGGGGGGUGGGGGAGAGUCAAGUCUGCUGGGCCUGCCCUCCUGUGCGGGCUGACAUCUCCGGGAAGGGGACGCUGCUGUAUUUCCCACAAAAAGCACACGGGCAACCCCUUUUUCCACUGGUGCUCGCGAAGAGCACGGGUGUUGGAGUAGGGGGAGGGAAGCCAGCGCUGGAGGCCUUCGUCAUGGAAAAUAAAGGUGGAAGCCAGGCCUGAGAAAUGAGGAUGCGCUUGGGACCUUUCCAGCCAGGGAGACUUCCAUCAUGCUUGAGCUUCAUGCCCUUGGUGGUUGCUGAAGAAGCAGAUACUCUUGCUACUCCUACAGAUGUCCCCUACUGUCCUCAGGCUGUUUGACCGUGUUGGGACAACCACCUGCUGGUCACAGCCCUUCGCCUUUCCCAGGAAACCCAGAGGAGUUGCAGGAUUGGAUUCCUGGGUAUGAAGAUUCAGAGGUGUGACUGUCCCAUAAAUAUGCCCUGUUGAGUUAGAACACUGGCAUUAGGGCAGAAUCCUUCCACCAUCUUGCUGAAGUGCUUCUAAGAGAGGAAUAGUGUGGGUUCACAUCCUAGGAACUCUACAGAUUGAAGUCCCAGACAACCAGCUGGAACUGAGAAAUAUCUGUGAAAUUCUGUGUUUUGUCUUAAUGGUUUUUGCAUUCUACUCUAUAUUUAGUUGAGAUAUUUAAAAACUUCAGGUCUUAAAAUGGGAAUCUCCAGGAAAAUGUAUCAUUUUUAUCCCGUCAACUCGGAUGCCCCUUACCACAGUAAACUGAUGAACUGAUGCUACUAAACUCCUUGGUUGGCUGUGAAAUCAGAUUUGUGGGUGUUACCUUUUAUUUUCUUAAAUAGAAGAACAGAACAGAAAACUGCUCGAAUUGAUCACCUACGCAUCAGGCAACACGCGAGGUUCUGGAGAGGGAAAGCACGAUAUCCGACAGAACCUGCCUCUGCUUCCCUGGCUGUUCCUGCGAUUCACAAUCCAUCCCCCGUGGCACCCCGGCCAAUACAAGAGCCAGCUCCAGAUCGCUAGAAGUUUCUAGCAGUGCGUUUAACGCUGCUGUUCGAGGGACGGCAGCGGUGAGCCCCUGGGACCGCUAACGGACACCAGCAGCGUCAGGGAGCUGUGGACCGUGCCCCGCACUGGGGCCGACCUCGUGCGGCCCACUCCGGGACCGCCAACCAGGAGACCGGAUGUUGCCAUUGUGGAAAAAUUAAAUAUUUGAAAACAGUAUUACAAUAGAUGUUUUAAGGAGAAGAAAAGUCAAGCAAUUGGACGGAAAAAGCAGUACCAGCAGAGGUCACUAGAAUGCUACCAAAUUACUAUCACCCUCCGGAGAUGAAGCGCUCAUGAAAUCCUUUAAAACUAAUUUUCGUCCCUCCGUUUCUGUGCAGGCUUUUCUCUGAGACCCCUACACAAGCCCUCUCCCAACGUCCAUCAGACUGCGUUCCUCAGUGACUCCCACCCCGUCCAAUCCACCCCCCCCCCGCCACCGAUCCAGCAUGAUGGGUCUAAGAACAAUCACACAGUCGUAGAAUGAGAAUUUAAAAAGUAGCUCCAUUUCAGAAAAGAUCCUGUGAUUUUAAAGGGUUAUUUUUUCAUGUGAUUUAUCCAAAUCUUCCAGUUUAAAGUUCAUUUGUUCUGUGUUUCUCCAUAAUUUGUAAAGAAAUAAUUAUUAAAUUUAAGAACAGAUCCUUGCUUUUGUUAGUUGUAGGGGGCAUUCCCCUGCUGCAUUUUCUAUAUAGAGACAUGUCUGCGGGCAAGGACAGCCACACUCAGAAGUGAGUGGUGACUCCACUGGGGGCAGCGGCUGGGGCCCAGGCGAGCUCAUUCGUCCUUAUGUCCCAGCCUUAGCAUACAGACUCGCUGUAGGUUCUCCAUAAAUGUCCAUUCAACAGAAUGGAUCGUAUUUAUAAUAGUAUGGUACACUACUGAGAUUAAAAUAGGAAUGUUUUAAUCAUGUAGUUUAUUAAGCAGAGAGAGAAGGAUCCAUGAAGUUAAAACAUUUUACACAUUAAGAACAUUUUUUUCCUGAUAUUAAAAGAUUUUUAA